GGAUGUGAGGGUGAUCUGGCUGUGACAUCUGUCACCCCAUCAGUCGCCAGGGUUGAUUCGGCUGAUCUGGCUGGCUAGGCAUGUGUCCCCUUCCUCCCUCACCGCUCCAUGUGAGUCCCUCCCGAAGUUGCGCACUCGGUCGAAGACAGCCUUCCCCGAAUAGAGACGGACUGGUCUUCGGUCGAGGGUAUAGGAGUAGCUGCGCUCCCCUGCUAGAACCUCCAAAUAAGCUCUCAAGGAAGGAGAGACAAACUUGCUGCAGGUCCAUUCUACAGAUGAACUAGCUGGGACUCCCAGGGCAAGUACUCAAUUUGCU
rnacentral:snRNA from 1 species